rnacentral:rRNA from 1 species
AAAAACAUGGCCUUUUGAUUUUAAUUUAAGGUCAGACCUGCUCAAUGAAUAUUAAAUAGCCGCAGUAUUUUGACUGUGCAAAGGUAGCAUAAUCAUUAGUUUUUUAAUUGAAAGCUGGAAUGAAAGGUUGAAUGAGAAAAUAGCUGUCUCUAUAUAAAUUUGAUAGAAUUUUAUUUUUAAGUUAAAAAGCUUAAAUUUUAAUAAAAGACGAGAAGACCCUAUAGAGUUUUAUAUUUAUUUAUAAUAUUUAUAUAUAUAUAUAUAUAUAUUUUUUAGUAUUUUAAAUUAUAUUAUUUUAAAAUAUUUGGUUGGGGUGAUUAGAAAAUUAAUAAAACUUUUCUUUUAAUUGAAACAUUUAUUUAUGAUAUUAUGAUCCUUUUUUAGAGAUUAUAAGAUAAAAUUACCUUAGGGAUAACAGCGUAAUUUUUUUUGAGAGUUCUUAUCGAUAGAAAAGAUUGCGACCUCGAUGUUGGAUUAAAAUAAAUUUUUGGUGUAGAAGCUAAAUUAAUUAGGUCUGUUCGACCUUUAGAAUUUUACUUGAUCUGAGUU